GCUCCAGAGCCCUUCAUGGCCUCCUCUGGACUUGCUCCAACAUUUCCAUGUCCUUCUUGUGUUCUGGUGUCACUGCAUUCCAGGCAGGGUCUCACGAGAGCUCUGUGCAGCAAUUGAGUUUUGAAAUCCACAAGGACACCAAGAAGUAACCAUGCCAUUCAUGGGCUGCCCUCAGACUUCUAGUGAGCACUUGCUGUGAAGCUCUUUAAAACAACAAAAAAACCCAUGUUCCUUUAUUUCCUACAUUUGUUUUGCCACCAAGAGCUCACUGUUCUCUUCAGGAUGCCACAGCAAGGAUGUUAUGAUAAGUAAUGAAAAUCUACCAGAUGGCUUUUUAUCUCGAGUCCUCAAUCCAGCAAUGCCUGACAUGUAAUUAAUUUCAUGUAUGUGUAACCACAC